AUGUUUCUUGUUCAGCGCACUGUUUAUCUGCUUCCCUACUGUCAGUGUCGAGCAACAAUUUCAUCUUUAUUUUUCAUUCAUACUCAUGCGUGUUCUGUUCAUGUGCAUAUGCUUAAUUACUUUGUGGUGACUGACAGGGAGUACACCUUUGGUUACCAAUCACUGCACAAUCGUCCCACAUUUGUUUUUCUUAAUGUUCAUUGCCCAACAGGCUACAAUGCCCACACGCUGAGCCUUGUUUUGCCUACAAUUUACUGCUGCGGUGCUGUAGGAACCAAGCUAAGCUCCAGCAGAACCUCAUGUACCUAA
rnacentral:rRNA from 1 species